GACGAACGCUGGCGGCGUGCUUAACACAUGCAAGUCGAACGGAGUGUCGAACGGGUCAGUAACAUGUGGGUGAUCUGCCCUGCCCUUCGGGUUAAGCUUGGGAAACUGGGUCUAAUCCCGGAUAGUUCAAGAUGAGCUCGCGGCCUAUCCGCUUGUUGGCGGGGUAAUUGCCUACCAAGGCGUCGACGGGUAGCCGGCCUGGGAGGGUGUACGGCCACAUUGGGACUGGGAUACGGCCCAGACUACUACGGGAGGAAGCAGUGGGGGAUAUUGCACACUGGGCGGGAGCCUGAUGGAGCGACGCCGAGUGGGGGAUGAAGGACUUCGGGUUGUAAACUCCUUUCGGCAGGGACGCGGUACCUGGAUAAGAAGCACCGGCUAACUACGUGCCAGCAGCCGCGGUAAUUC
rnacentral:rRNA from 1 species